AGUAGAACGCUGAAGAGAGGAGCUUGCUCUUCUUGGAUGAGUUGCGAACGGGUGAGUAACGCGUAGGUAACCUGCCUGGUAGCGGGGGAUAACUAUUGGAAACGAUAGCUAAUACCGCAUAAAAUGGAUUAUCGCAUGAUAAUCAAUUGAAAGGUGCAAAUGCAUCACUACCAGAUGGACCUGCGUUGUAUUAGCUAGUUGGUGGGGUAACGGCUCACCAAGGCGACGAUACAUAGCCGACCUGAGAGGGUGAUCGGCCACACUGGGACUGAGACACGGCCCAGACUCCUACGGGAGGCAGCAGUAGGGAAUCUUCGGCAAUGGACGGAAGUCUGACCGAGCAACGCCGCGUGAGUGAAGAAGGUUUUCGGAUCGUAAAGCUCUGUUGUAAGAGAAGAACGAGUGUGAGAGUGGAAAGUUCACACUGUGACGGUAUCUUACCAGAAAGGGACGGCUAACUACGUGCCAGCAGCCGCGGUAAUACGUAGGUCCCGAGCGUUGUCCGGAUUUAUUGGGCGUAAAGCGAGCGCAGGCGG
rnacentral:rRNA from 1 species